rnacentral:rRNA from 1 species
GACGAACGCUGGCGGCGUGCUUAACACAUGCAAGUCGAACGGAAAGGCCCUGCUUUUGUGGGGUGCUCGCGUGGCGAACGGGUGAGUAACAAGUGAGUCACCUGCCCUUGACUUUGGGAUAAAUUCAGGAAACUGGGGCUAAUACCGGAUAGGCGCUCUCGCUGCAUGGUGGGGGUUGGAAAGUUUCGGCGGUUGGUGAUGGUCUCGCGGCUUAUCAGCUUGUUGGUGGGGUAGUGGCUUACCAAGGCUUUGACGGGUAGCCGGCCUGAGAGGGUGACCGGCCACAAGGGGACUGAGAUACGGCCCAGACGCCUACGGGAGGCAGCAGUGGGGAAUAUUGCACAAUGAGCGGAAGCCUGAGGCAGCAACGCCGCGUGCGGGAUGACGGCCUGCGGGUUGUAAACCGCUUUCGCCUGAGACGAAGCGUGAGUGACGGUAAUGGGUAAAGAAGCACCGGCUAACUACGUG